AUACCUUUCUUGGCCUUUUGGCUAAGAUGAAGUGUAGUAUCUAUUCUUAUCAGUUUAAUAUCUGAUAUGUGGGGCAAUGCCUCACA
rnacentral:sRNA from 1 species